GUUUAUUCAUUUAUUUUUGGUAGGAUUGAAGUCCUUUUUGUUUGCUUGUUUGCUUAUUUGCUUUACUUAAGUAGUAUAGUCAGGUUCUUUUUGGUUUCUUGUUGAUUACCUGUUGCUCUGGUAGUAAAGGUUUUAGAUGACUUAUUUCUUUACCAACUGCUUUUGCUUUCUCAUAUGGCUGAAGAUUUCAAACUCAUUUUUUGUUUCUGCUGGAUGCAGAAUCAUAUGAUUCCUGAUACAUCAUAAGAACUUUCUUUGUUUCAUGAUACUUUUCAAUUUACCUUUUCAUUAGCUACUUGUAUAUUGAGUUUUAUUAACUCCACUCAGUGUUGGAACUUUUUGUGAAAUGUGAAUAAAAUAUUUAGCACCUUUCUCUGGUCUGUGCUCAUCCAAAGGAGUAUAUACUGUUUGUAAGGAAUCAACUUUAUCAUCAGUACAUGUGUAACUUAUUAUUUAUCCAAUGCACAUGUGCUGCUGUUGGCAUUAAAGCAGUUCUUAAUAUUUGGGUGUGUUAAAUACUUUGUUUUCCACUUUUCUUUUUGAUUGUUGAGAAAAGGGUUCAUACUUUGAUAGGAACUAGCAGAGCAUAUUUUGUUUAGUGCUGAGUCCUCUAAUGGAGGAAAUUUUGGCUUUGAAUGGAAAUAUGGGCUUUAAGUUUUGGCCGUGUGAACUUGUAUAGAUGCAGUUGGAACCAUUGUCAUUGUUGGCCUAUUAAAAGUUACCUUCCUGUAAGUCAAAACUUAUCUAGAACCCAUGAAGCUUCUAACCUGUGUGUUGAGUAUUUAAAAACAUGUUUCAUUCCUUCUAUUGGCAUAUUGAAUAUACUGGUUUAUUUAUACCAUCUUGCU
rnacentral:misc_RNA from 1 species